UUGCGGUUAAAAAGCUCGUAGUUGGAUUUCUGUCGAAGACGGCCGGUCCGCUCUAUGAGCGUGUAUCUGGUUCGGCUUUGGCAUCCUCGUGGGGAACGUUACUGUGCUUGAUUGCAUGGUGCGGAAUUCACGACUUUUACUUUGAGGGAAUUAGAGUGUUCACGGCAGGCAAGCGCAUUGAAUACAUUAGCAUGGAAUAAUAAUAUAGGACUUUGGUUCUAUUUUGUUGGUUUCUAGAACUAAAGUAAUGAUUAAUAGGGAUAAUUGGGGGCAUUUGUAUUAACGCGUCAGAGGUGGAAUUCUUGGAUUGCGUUACGACAAACUACUGCGAAAGCAUUUGCCAAGGAUGUUUUCAUUGAUCAAGAACGAAAGUAUGGGGAUCGAAGAUGAUUAGAUACCGUCGCAGUCUAUACCAUAAACUAUACCGACUAGAGAUUGGAGGUCGUUCUUUUUAUGACUCCUGCAGCACCUUAUGAGAAAUCAAAGUCUUUGGGUUCCGGGGGAGUAUGGUCGCAAGGCUGAAACUUAAAGGAAUUGACGGAAGGGCACCACCAGGAGUGGAGCCUGC
rnacentral:rRNA from 1 species